GUAACUAUGGAACUUAUUGAAUUUCUUAAUAACAAACAAUCUGGCGUCGCCUUAAGUCGCGUGGUCGCGUGCUCUUCGAUUUCAACAACUAAAUGGUAGUUAAAGCAAUGGAAGAAAGUCGGGAGGCUUCGGUUGCAAAUAGAAAUUUCUCAAAUGGACCGGGUGGCGAGCAGAACCCAGUGCAACUUGAUCAUUGUUAUGCAAAACCAUGGAAUUGGCGGCAAGAAAUGGCCCAUUGCAAACCCGCCCGAAUUCUCUUUGCAGAGGAAAAUUUCCCUGUCGGCGGUGAUGAUGUCAUAGAUGUUGAAGUUACUCCGAAUCCAAAACAUCACCCAAUAUUAAAUAGGGAGAUGACAGAAAAAAAUUAUAUGGAGUCGAACCAAAAAUUCAAUCUUCUUUUAACUGAGGAAACCUCUUCUGAUUGGGAAGAAACUGUGAAACGAGAUGGUUGGACACCAUUACAAAACAGGAUUUUCAAUAAGGUGGUAAAGCUGCUCGUUGCAGACAACAUGGCUAGACUAGCUACAGAACAACUUGAAAACGAAGCCAUCCAGAAGAAAAUUAAUGUUGAAGGAUCAGCCAAAAAAUUGAGAAUCAUUUUGUCAUCCGUGGCAUGGGAUGUUAAAAUUACCCAAUGGCUACACUUGACGCUUAUUGAACACCUCAGUCGGGAUUAUUUGUUGUGUUACAUAAACAUCUUACAAGUGCUUCAGAGCAGAGUGCCUACGUUGGUCGAUAGAAUAUUGAGCACCCCACUAACCAAUAGCAAGCUGUCUUCGUUAAACAACCAAAUUUUGAACUUUGUUGUUGGCAAACCUUGGGAGCCUGCAUUAAAUCCUAGUACUUUGCCAAAUGCCAAAGGUCCACCUAUGGCACCAUUAAUCAUCAUGGUACCUUCAGGAACCAACAACUAUAACUCUUUGUCUAGUCUUAGCGGAUCAAGACGCUUCCAGACGUGGCAUAACCUUCUACAGACUUUAGGAAGAGUAACAACGGUUUCCCUCCAGGCCACUCCUUCGCUACAUACCCUGUCUUUGCCCGUGCUUGUGGAAUCCAUCAUCAAUGCAACUUUACAGAAAGUACAGGAGCUAAAAGCAGGUUGCCCGAAUCGCCCUAUCGUUCUUGCUGGGCUUCAGCAGGGAGCACUAAUAGCCGCUCAGGUCGCCUAUUUGGAGCCUGUUACGGCAUUACUAUGUUUAGGCUUUCCACUUUUCUGCGUCGACGGUAAGCGAGGUGAACCGGAUGAUUUCAUUCUGGACAUCAAAUGUCCAACGAUGUUAGUGGUUGGUCAGUCUUCGUCGACGUGCACAGUAGAUGGAAUUGAACAACUCCGGCAUCGAAUGAAAGCGGAAUCGUCCCUCAUAGUAGUAGACGGUGCUGUGGACUCUUUGCGAAUGCUUAAAUGGAAGAGAAAGCUACAGAAUGUGACCCAGUCUAUGGUGGAUGCUUGCAUUUUGGAGGAAAUUUCAACAUUUUUUUCAACAGUUCUAACCCAAGCAGCUGCUGCAACUGCAGGCAAAAAGAGCACACCGGAACGUAAACCUGAUGGAACGCCUUUAGCCGGAGGACCAACUAAAAGACCACGGCAUCCUGUUGACAUGGAAGAUUCGACGCAUGCGGCCUUGAGCGGCCAUAAUUAUUCUCAAAGCACUCCCUUUGCCCCGCCGUGGAAAGGUCGUAGCGGGACUGGGCUUCGCGUGCGAGGUGGCCGGGCAGGGCCUGGACAUUCAAGCAAAAUUCCAUAUCAAAGAGCAACCUCCGAAAUAUCACCAUCUACUCCAAAAGGUCGAAUUGCACGUUCUGUCAGCACGUAUCGUUCGCAACCAAGCCCCGCUGACAUUUUACCGUCUCGUGGACUGGCACAGCGAGCAAACACGUCAAAUCCUUUAGACAACGUGGAAAUUGAUUGCAAGUCAAGUGUUGGCAGUUCUCAAGGGUCACCAAAAGAGGAAGGAACGCAUCCGCUCAUGGAAUGCAAAGCAAGCGGAGACAGCUCUGAGACUGAAUCGGCACCGCCCGCCGAUGACGACGACGAGAUUAUGGAAGACCUGCGUUUUUGCAAUGAAUUUAUGAGUAAGCAGCAGCAGAGCCAAGUGCCUCAAAAACAAGAGGAUGGAAGCAUGCAAGAAGAUGAUUUCUGCCUCAAAUAUUCCGGUGACGAGGCUGAUGACUUACCUCUAGUCGACGUUUGCCGACGACUCAGUGCAGAAAAUCGAAACCGAAAUCAAAACAGCAAGAACGCACCUGCGGUGACGCCGGAAUAGAUUAGCACAUCAUAUUUAUCACAUGUAUCACUCACCUGCCUCUCUCGGACGGGCAGACGUUUCGAAAUGAGUCCUUCGGUGAAAUUUGAGUCUCGGCCGGCGUUGAGAGAUAGGAAAAGAGGUAACACAUUAAGAGAGAAUCGUGUCAUGUCAUCGUCGCAAGAAAAUCACAACGAAGAUGGCCAACCCAGCUGUAAUAGAUCCCGCUCUGGCUGAUGGGAAAAAGUUCUUGCCUUUCUCAUGCGCAACCAUUUUACACAGUGGAGGGAAAAAAAAAAGCCAAACAAGAAGUCUGUUUGCUUUUUGAAAACCAAAAGAAAGAAAAGAAAAGAAAAAAAAAGGGGGCAGAAAUGGAUAAGAUGCAUACAUUAGUUUUUGGUGAUGCUAGUGAGCAGCUAAUGCAACUUAGUGUGCUCUCUUUCUCCCAAACGGGCGCAAUCAUUGACGGGGUGUAUAUUUUUGACCCCCGCAACGCUGCUGAUGAGGUGUCACUGUUUUCUCUGGCUCGCCGGCGAACACUCAUUAGCAAGGGCUAUAUGCAAGCUGUACAUCCAAGACUACUAAGCUGAUGCGUUCGUCCGUCUUCACGCAACAGUUUUCUUCGUCGGCGCUGUCUCUACUGUCUUCAAACAUUCUAAAAGCCAUAUGUGUCACUCCUUGCACCGGAUCCCUUUGCCCG